CCUACGGGAGGCUGCAGUGGGGAAUAUUGGACAAUGGGCGAAAGCCUGAUCCAGCCAUGCCGCGUGUGUGAAGAAGGCCUUCGGGUUGUAAAGCACUUUCAGUGGGGAAGAAAGCCUUGGGGCUAAUACCCUCGAGGAAGGACAUCACCCACAGAAGAAGCACCGGCUAACUCCGUGCCAGCAGCCGCGGUAAUACGGAGGGUGCGAGCGUUAAUCGGAAUUACUGGGCGUAAAGCGCGCGUAGGCGGUCUGAUAAGCCGGUUGUGAAAGCCCCGGGCUCAACCUGGGAACGGCAUCCGGAACUGUCAGGCUAGAGUGCAGGAGAGGAAGGUAGAAUUCCCGGUGUAGCGGUGAAAUGCGUAGAGAUCGGGAGGAAUACCAGUGGCGAAGGCGGCCUUCUGGACUGACACUGACGCUGAGGUGCGAAAGCGUGGGUAGCAAACAGGAUUAAUACCCCGAGUAGUC
rnacentral:rRNA from 1 species